AGAACUCGGAAUUUUCUGUUUUCUUCUUCUUCUUUGUCUUCUUCUUCUUCUUCUUCUUCUUCGUCUUCUUCUUUAUUUCUCUUUUCUUCUUCUUCUUCUUCUUCUUCUUCUUCUUAUUCCUUCUUUUCCUUUUUCAUGUUCUUUGUUCUCCUCCUCCUCCUCUUCUUCUCCUCCUCCUCCUCUCCUCUUCUCCUCUUAUUCUACUCUUUUCUUUUCUUCUUCUUCUUCUUCUUCUUCUUCUUCUUCUUCUUCUUCUUGCUUUUCUU
rnacentral:lncRNA from 1 species